rnacentral:snRNA from 1 species
AUCGCUUCUCGGCCUUUUGGCUAAGAUCAAGUGUAGUUUUAUAUUUAUAACCAUUUGGCAUCUUUUAAAAAAUUUUAUUUAUUUAUAAAAAGGAAACACUGACAAAACCAUAGGAUAAGAGGGGUACAACUCCACACAGUUCCCACCACCA